rnacentral:rRNA from 1 species
UGAGGAAUAUUGGUCAAUGGACGAGAGUCUGAACCAGCCAAGUAGCGUGCAGGAUGACGGCCCUAUGGGUUGUAAACUGCUUUUGUUUGGGAAUAAUCGACAUUACGUGUAAUGUUUUGCAUGUACCAUUCGAAUAAGGACCGGCUAAUUCCGUGCCAGCAGCCGCGGUAAUACGGAAGGUCCAGGCGUUAUCCGGAUUUAUUGGGUUUAAAGGGAGUGUAGGCGGUUGGUUAAGCGUGUUGUGAAAUGUAGAUGCUAAACAUCUGACUUGCAGCGCGAACUGGCUGACUUGAGUACACACAACGUAGGCGGAAUUCAUGGUGUAGCGGUGAAAUGCUUAGAUAUCAUGAAGAACUCCGAUUGCGAAGGCAGCUUACGGGAGUGUUACUGACGCUUAAGCUCGAAGGUGCGGGUAUCGAACAGG